UACGGAGGGUGCAAACGUUGCUCGGAAUCAUUGGGCGUAAAGCGCACGUAGGCGGCCUGUUAAGUCGGAUGUGAAAGCCCCGGGCUCAACCCGGGAAGUGCAUUCGAAACUGGCGGGCUUGAAUAUGGAAGAGGGUCGCGGAAUUCCCGGUGUAGAGGUGAAAUUCGUAGAUAUCGGGAGGAACACCAGUGGCGAAGGCGGCGACCUGGGCCAAUAUUGACGCUGAGGUGCGAAAGCGUGGGGAGCAAACAGG
rnacentral:rRNA from 1 species